rnacentral:rRNA from 1 species
AUGAACGCUAGCGACAGGCUUAACACAUGCAAGUCGAGGGGCAGCGGGGGUAGCGAUACCCGCCGGCGACCGGCGCACGGGUGAGUAACGCGUAUGCAACUUGCCUAUCAGAGGGGGAUAACCCGGCGAAAGUCGGACUAAUACCGCAUGAAGCAGGGGCCCCGCAUGGGGAUAUUUGCUAAAGAUUCAUCGCUGAUAGAUAGGCAUGCGUUCCAUUAGGCAGUUGGCGGGGUAACGGCCCACCAAACCGACGAUGGAUAGGGGUUCUGAGAGGAAGGUCCCCCACAUUGGUACUGAGACACGGACCAAACUCCUACGGGAGGCAGCAGUGAGGAAUAUUGGUCAAUGGGCGUAAGCCUGAACCAGCCAAGUCGCGUGAGGGAUGAAGGUUCUAUGGAUCGUAAACCUCUUUUAUAAGGGAAUAAAGUGCGGGACGUGUCCCGUUUUGUAUGUACCUUAUGAAUAAGGAUCGGCUAACUCCGUGCCAGCAGCCGCGGUAAUACGGAGGAUCCGAGCGUUAUCCGGAUUUAUUGGGUUUAAAGGGUGCGUAGGCGGCCUUUUAAGUCAGCGGUGAAAGUCUGUGGCUCAACCAUAGAAUUGCCGUUGAAACUGGGGGGCUUGAGUAUGUUUGAGGCAGGCGGAAUGCGUGGUGUAGCGGUGAAAUGCAUAGAUAUCACGCAGAACCCCGAUUGCGAAGGCAGCCUGCCAAGCCAUUACUGACGCUGAUGCACGAAAGCGUGGGGAUCAAACAGGAUUAGAUACCCUGGUAGUCCACGCAGUAAACGAUGAUCACUAGCUGUUUGCGAUACACUGUAAGCGGCACAGCGAAAGCGUUAAGUGAUCCACCUGGGGCGUACGCCGGCAACGGUGAAACUCAAAGGAAUUGACGGGGGCCCGCACAAGCGGAGGAACAUGUGGUUUAAUUCGAUGAUACGCGAGGAACCUUACCCGGGUUUGAACGCAUUCGGACCGAGGUGGAAACACCUUUUCUAGCAAUAGCCGUUUGCGAGGUGCUGCAUGGUUGUCGUCAGCUCGUGCCGUGAGGUGUCGGCUUAAGUGCCAUAACGAGCGCAACCCUUGCCACUAGUUACUAACAGGUAAAGCUGAGGACUCUGGUGGGACUGCCAGCGUAAGCUGCGAGGAAGGCGGGGAUGACGUCAAAUCAGCACGGCCCUUACAUCCGGGGCGACACACGUGUUACAAUGGCGUGGACAAAGGGAGGCCACCUGGCGACAGGGAGCGAAUCCCCAAACCACGUCUCAGUUCGGAUCGGAGUCUGCAACCCGACUCCGUGAAGCUGGAUUCGCUAGUAAUCGCGCAUCAGCCAUGGCGCGGUGAAUACGUUCCCGGGCCUUGUACACACCGCCCGUCAAGCCAUGGGAGCCGGGGGUACCUGAAGUCCGUAACCGCGAGGAUCGGCCUAGGGUAAAACUGGUGACUGGGGCU